rnacentral:misc_RNA from 1 species
GGGCGACUGCCGCGCUCUCCUCUAAUAGGGACGAUGCCAGCGCAUCGUUCCCCUUUUCCACUUCGACGAGGCCAUGGACGGCCAGCGACAUGGAGAGCCCGAACUCGUCUCCCCCUACCGUACGGAAUAUCUCCACGCUCUCCUCGGCGAGGGAGUCGGCUGCGGCAGGCUCGCCUUGGGCUAGCAUCACCAGGCCUAGAACCCACAGUGCGUGGGCGAGGUCAUGUUGGCUGCCUCCUAGCUCCCGCCAGAUCGCCACGCUCUCCUCCAAUUGGGAGUGUGCCA